UACGAAGGGGGCUAGCGUUGUUCGGAAUUACUGGGCGUAAAGCGCACGUAGGCGGGUUUGUAAGUAGGGGGUGAAAUCCCCGGGCUCAACCCGGGAACUGCCUUCUAGACUGCAAGCCUGGAGGUCAGGAGAGGCGAGUGGAGUUCCGAGUGUAGAGGUGAAAUUCGUAGAUAUUCGGAGGAACACCAGUGGCGAAGGCGACUCGCUGGACUGAUACUGACGCUGAGGUGCGAAAGCGUGGGGAGCAAACAGG
rnacentral:rRNA from 1 species